rnacentral:rRNA from 1 species
ACAAGCGGUGGAGCAUGUGGUUAAUUCGAAGCAACGCGAAGAACCUUACCAGGUCUUGACAUCCCCUGACAACCCGAGAGAUCGGGCGUUCCCCUUCGGGGGACAGGGUGACAGGUGGUGCAUGGUUGUCGUCAGCUCGUGUCGUGAGAUGUUGGGUUAAGUCCCGCAACGAGCGCAACCCUCGACCUUAGUUGCCAGCAUUCAGUUGGGCACUCUAAGGUGACUGCCGGCUAAAAGUCGGAGGAAGUGGGGAUGACGUCAAAUCAUCAUGCCCCUUAUGACCUGGGCUACACACGUGCUACAAUGGGCGGUACAAAGGGUCGCGAACCCGCGAGGGGGAGCCAAUCCCAAAAAGCCGCUCUCAGUUCGGAUUGCAGGCUGCAACUCGCCUGCAUGAAGCCGGAAUCGCUAGUAAUCGCAGGUCAGCAUACUGCGGUCGAAUACGUUCCCGGGCCUU